GACGAACGCUGGCGGCGUGCCUAAUACAUGCAAGUAGAACGCUGAAGCGAGGAGCUUGCUCUUCUUGGAUGAGUUGCGAACGGGUGAGUAACGCGUAGGUAACCUGCCUUGUAGCGGGGGAUAACUAUUGGAAACGAUAGCUAAUACCGCAUAACAAUGGAUGACACAUGUCAUUUAUUUGAAAGGGGCAAUUGCUCCACUACAAGAUGGACCUGCGUUGUAUUAGCUAGUAGGUGAGGUAAUGGCUCACCUAGGCGACGAUACAUAGCCGACCUGAGAGGGUGAUCGGCCACACUGGGACUGAGACACGGCCCAGACUCCUACGGGAGGCAGCAGUAGGGAAUCUUCGGCAAUGGGGGCAACCCUGACCGAGCAACGCCGCGUGAGUGAAGUAGGUUUUCGGAUCGUAAAGCUCUGUUGUAAGUCAAGAACGGGUGUGAGAGUGGAAAGUUCACACUGUGACGGUAGCUUACCAGAAAGGGACGGCUAACUACGUG
rnacentral:rRNA from 1 species